ACGCCGCGUGCAGGAUGAAGGCCUUCGGGUUGUAAACUGCUUUUAUAUGUGACGAAUAUGACGGUAGCAUAUGAAUAAGGAUCGGCUAACUCCGUGCCAGCAGCCGCGGUCAUACGGAGGAUCCAAGCGUUAUCCGGAAUUACUGGGCGUAAAGAGUUGCGUAGGUGGCAGAGUGUGUCUGUAGUGAAAGCGUGUGGCUCAACCAUAUAUACAUUACAGAAACUGCUCAGCUAGAGGACGAGAGAGGUUAUUGGAAUUCCUAGUGUAGGAGUGAAAUCCGUAGAUAUUAGGAGGAACACCGAUGGCGUAGGCAGAUAACUGGCUCGUUCCUGACACUAAGGCACGAAAGCGUGGGGAGCAAACGGGAUUAGAUACCCCGGUAGUCCACGCCGUAAACGAUGAAUGCUAGCUGUUAUGGGUAUCGACCCCCGUAGUAGCGAAGCUAACGCGUUAAGCAUUCCGCCUGUGGAGUACGGUCGCAAGACUAAAACAUAAAGGAAUUGACGGGGACCCGCACAAGCGGUGGAGCAUGUUGUUUAAUUCGAUGCAACGCGAAGAACCUUACCCAGGCUUGACAUCCUCGGAAUUUUGUCGAAAGACGAGAGUGCCUUUGGGAGCCGAGUGACAGGUGUUGCAUGGCCGUCGUCAGCUCGUGUCGUGAGAGGUUUGGUUAAGUCCAUCAACGAGCGCAACCCUUAUAGUCUGUUGUAUUUUUCAGGCUAGACUGCCCCGGUAACGGGGAGGAAGGGGGGGAUGAUGUCAGGUCAGUAUUACCCUUACGUCUGGGGCUACAAACACGCUACAAUGGCCGGUACAAAGGGCAGC
rnacentral:rRNA from 1 species